UUGGUUGCCUUUGUCUUAUAAACAGUGU
rnacentral:piRNA from 1 species